rnacentral:rRNA from 1 species
GACAGAGGGUGCAAACGUUGUUCGGAAUUACUGGGCGUAAAGCGUGUGUAGGCGGCCAAGCAAGUCGGAUGUGAAAGCCCAGGGCUCAACCCUGGAAGUGCACUCGAUACUGCAUGGCUUGAGUAUCGGAGAGGUUGGUGGAAUUCUCGGUGUAGAGGUGAAAUUCGUAGAUAUCGAGAGGAACACCGGUGGCGAAGGCGGCCAACUGGACGAAUACUGGCGCUGAGACACGAAAGCGUGGGGAGCAAACAGG